AGUACAAGGUGACGUAUUGAUCCACAGGCCAAAUUUGGUCGCCGGGCCCGUGGUGAGCGAAUGGCGAAACCAACACCUGCAUCA
rnacentral:ncRNA from 1 species